rnacentral:rRNA from 1 species
UACGUAGGGGGCCAGCGUUGUCCGGAAUCAUUGGGCGUAAAGCGCGCGUAGGCGGUCAAGUAAGUCCGGUGUGAAAGUCAAAGGCUCAACCUUUGAAUGCCGCUGGAAACUGCUUGACUUGAGUCCGGGAGGGGCGAGUGGAAUUCCUGGUGUAGCGGUGAAAUUCGUAGAUAUCAAGCGGAACACCGGUGGCGAAGGCGGCCUUCUGGACAGUGACUGACGCUGAGACGCGAAAGCGUGGGGAGCAAACAGG